rnacentral:rRNA from 1 species
GACGAACGCUGGCGGCGUGCCUAAUACAUGCAAGUUGAGCGAUGAAGAUUGGUGCUUGCCCCAAUUUGAAGAGCAGCGAACGGGUGAGUAACGCGUGGGGAAUCUGCCUUUGAGCGGGGGACAACAUUUGGAAACGAAUGCUAAUACCGCAUAAUAACUUUAAACAUAAGUUUUAAGUUUGAAAGAUGCAAUUGCAUCACUCAAAGAUGAUCCCGCGUUGUAUUAGCUAGUUGGUGAGGUAAGGGCUCACCAAGGCGAUGAUACAUAGCCGACCUGAGAGGGUGAUCGGCCACAUUGGGACUGAGACACGGCCCAAACUCCUACGGGAGGCAGCAGUAGGGAAUCUUCGGCAAUGGACGAAAGUCUGACCGAGCAACGCCGCGUGAGUGAAGAAGGUUUUCGGAUCGUAAAACUCUGUUGGUAGAGAAGAACGUUGGUGAGAGUGGAAAGCUCAUCAAGUGACGGUAACUACCCAGAAAGGGACGGCUAACUACGUG